rnacentral:rRNA from 1 species
UACGUAGGGUGCGAGCGUUGCCCGGAUUUAUUGGGCGUAAAGGGCGCGUAGGCGGCCACGCACGUCCGUUGUGAAAUCGCCCGGCUCAACUGGGCGGGGUCAGCGGAUACGGUGUGGCUCGAGCAAGCUAGGGGGCAAUGGAAUUCCCGGUGUAGUGGUGGAAUGCGUAGAGAUCCGGAAGAACACCAGUGGCGAAGGCGGCCCGCUGGGCAGUGGCUGACGCUGGAGGCGCGACAG